rnacentral:rRNA from 1 species
AGAGUUUGAUCCUGGCUCAGGAUGAACGCUGGCGGCGUGCCUAAUACAUGCAAGUCGAGCGAACGGACGAGAAGCUUGCUUCUCUGAUGUUAGCGGCGGACGGGUGAGUAACACGUGGAUAACCUACCUAUAAGACUGGGAUAACUUCGGGAAACCGGAGCUAAUACCGGAUAAUAUUUUGAACCGCAUGGUUCAAAAGUGAAAGACGGUCUUGCUGUCACUUAUAGAUGGAUCCGCGCUGCAUUAGCUAGUUGGUAAGGUAACGGCUUACCAAGGCAACGAUGCAUAGCCGACCUGAGAGGGUGAUCGGCCACACUGGAACUGAGACACGGUCCAGACUCCUACGGGAGGCAGCAGUAGGGAAUCUUCCGCAAUGGGCGAAAGCCUGACGGAGCAACGCCGCGUGAGUGAUGAAGGUCUUCGGAUCGCAAAACUCUGUUAUUAGGGAAGAACAUAUGUGUAAGUAACUGUGCACAUCUUGACGGUACCUAAUCAGAAAGCCACGGCUAACUACGUGCCAGCAGCCGCGGUAAUACGUAGGUGGCAAGCGUUAUCCGGAAUUAUUGGGCGUAAAGCGCGCGUAGGCGGUUUUUUAAGUCUGAUGUGAAAGCCCACGGCUCAACCGUGGAGGGUCAUUGGAAACUGGAAAACUUGAGUGCAGAAGAGGAAAGUGGAAUUCCAUGUGUAGCGGUGAAAUGCGCAGAGAUAUGGAGGAACACCAGUGGCGAAGGCGACUUUCUGGUCUGUAACUGACGCUGAUGUGCGAAAGCGUGGGGAUCAAACAGGAUUAGAUACCCUGGUAGUCCACGCCGUAAACGAUGAGUGCUAAGUGUUAGGGGGUUUCCGCCCCUUAGUGCUGCAGCUAACGCAUUAAGCACUCCGCCUGGGGAGUACGACCGCAAGGUUGAAACUCAAAGGAAUUGACGGGGACCCGCACAAGCGGUGGAGCAUGUGGUUUAAUUCGAAGCAACGCGAAGAACCUUACCAAAUCUUGACAUCCUUUGACAACUCUAGAGAUAGAGCCUUCCCCUUCGGGGGACAAAGUGACAGGUGGUGCAUGGUUGUCGUCAGCUCGUGUCGUGAGAUGUUGGGUUAAGUCCCGCAACGAGCGCAACCCUUAAGCUUAGUUGCCAUCAUUAAGUUGGGCACUCUAAGUUGACUGCCGGUGACAAACCGGAGGAAGGUGGGGAUGACGUCAAAUCAUCAUGCCCCUUAUGAUUUGGGCUACACACGUGCUACAAUGGACAAUACAAAGGGCAGCGAAACCGCGAGGUCAAGCAAAUCCCAUAAAGUUGUUCUCAGUUCGGAUUGUAGUCUGCAACUCGACUACAUGAAGCUGGAAUCGCUAGUAAUCGUAGAUCAGCAUGCUACGGUGAAUACGUUCCCGGGUCUUGUACACACCGCCCGUCACACCACGAGAGUUUGUAACACCCGAAGCCGGUGGAGUAACCUUUUAGGAGCUAGCCGUCGAAGGUGGGACAAAUGAUUGGGGUGAAGUCGUAACAAGGUAGCCGUAUCGGAAGGUGCGGCUGGAUCACCU